GUGCUUGCUUCGGCAGCACAUAUACUAAAAUCGAAACGAUACAGAGAAGAUUAGCAUGGCCCCAUGCACAAAGAUGACAUGCAAAUUUGUGAAAUGUUCCAUUUAAAA